rnacentral:ncRNA from 2 species
UAUCUUUGCACCCGCUUCGGUUUUAUGAAUGCCAGUAAUGCGUGCUCAUAAAUUAAAAGGGAAACAGGUGUAAAUCCUGUACAGUCCCGCUGCUGUAAGCUCUAUGUUAAUGGUUAAUUAGUAAUGGUUAAUUAGUAACAAAACGUAUUGAACAACACUUUUGCCACUGGUAUUAUCAGUGAACAGGAAACGGUGAACAGUAAACGGUCGUAAAAAACUGAUAACUGAAAACUUAAUACUGCUAACUGAAAUCGGGAAGGCGUUCAAUGACGGGAGUAAGUCAGAAGACCUGCCAAAGCAUAAUUUAUUUU